CCCAGAGAGCAGCCCCAGCCUGAGGCCAGGGGAUUGGGAAAGUGCCCACCAUGGCCUGGACUCCUCUCCUCCUGCUCCCCCUCCUCACCCUCUGCCCAGGAUCCAGGUCUCAGGCUGUGGUGACUCAGGAGCCCUCCCUGACUGUGUCUCCAGGAGGGACAGUCACUCUCACUUGUGCCUCCAGCACUGGAGCCAUCACCAGCAGUCACUAUCCAUACUGGGUCCAGCAGAAGUCUGACCAAGUCCCAGUAACACUGAUUCGUGAUACAAAUGGUAAAUACUCCUGGACCCCUGCCCGGUUCUCAGGCUCCAUCGUCGGGGGCAACGCUGCCCUGACCCUGUCAGGGGCCCAGCCUGAGGACGAGGCCGAGUACUACUGUGCUGUGUGGUACAGCAACCAUUACCACAAUGACACAGGCAGGGGGGAAGUGAGACAAAAACCCAGGGCUCAGUGCACCCUCUGCUCCUCCCAUUCCCCCACCUCCUGCUCACAGAGGCUGGUCUAGCCAAUGUGGGCUCAGAAGGCUUGUUCCCGCCCUGGCUGGUGUAGCUCAGUGGAUUGAGCACGGGCCUGUGAACCAGACAAUCGUGGUUCGAUUCCCAGUCAGGGCACAUGCCUGGGUUGCAGGCCGGUUCCCUGCAGGCCAGUUCCCAGCAGGGGACGCACGAAAGGCAACCAUACAUUGAUGUUUCUCUCCCUCUCUCCUUCCCUUCCCCUCUAAAGAUAAAU